AUUCAGCUGAAGAGUCCCAAAAUAGGAUGAAACGCUCCUCCUGGAU
rnacentral:hammerhead_ribozyme from 1 species